CAUACCACGUGGUCCGAGAACUCGCUCACUUUACCAAUGAGAAAAGGAUUUCGAUCGCGUCUUGGACCACGAUUUUCAACGAAGCGGCAAAUGAAGAACCAAGAUCGACGCGGACGAUGAGCUUGUAAGACGACCGGUUAAGCCGGGAGGAAAAAGUAUCGACCCAGAAAAUCGACUCGGCUUUAAUGGUGUAUCCUCGUAAUCGGUUUACUCGAGAUCUGUCGCAGUGUUACGAUAUAUGCCGUACAUACGUGUUCGUGUCUUGCGCAAACGCACGUGAUACGAAAUCGCAAAUUCGAUGAUGAUUCAGUUAUUUUACAACUACGCUUUG